UACAGAGGGGGCAAGCGUUGUUCGGAAUUACUGGGCGUAAAGGGCGCGUAGGCGGCCUGCUAAGUCGAACGUGAAAUCCCUGGGCUCAACCCAGGAACUGCGUCCGAUACUGGUUGGCUUGGAUCCGGGAGAGGGAUGCGGAAUUCCAGGUGUAGCGGUGAAAUGCGUAGAUAUCUGGAGGAACACCGGUGGCGAAGGCGGCAUCCUGGACCGGUAUUGACGCUGAGGCGCGAAAGCCAGGGGAGCAAACGGG
rnacentral:rRNA from 1 species